rnacentral:rRNA from 1 species
UGGGAAUAUUGCGCAAUGGGCGAAAGCCUGACGCAGCGACGCCGCGUGAGGGAUGAAGGCCUUCGGGUUGUAAACCUCUUUCAGCGCCGAAGAAGCGAAAGUGACGGUAGGCGCAGAAGAAGCACCGGCUAACUACGUGCCAGCAGCCGCGGUAAUACGUAGGGUGCAAGCGUUGUCCGGAAUUAUUGGGCGUAAAGAGCUCGUAGGCGGUUUGUCGCGUUUGGUGUGAAAACUCGGGGCUUAACCCCGGGCCUGAA